AGGUUUUUAUUUGCUUUUCAACAUCCAUUUAAUAGUGGUACAUGUGGCUUUGAUUAAUAUUACCAUAAAGACUGCUGAAAAUGGGUGUGGUACGGAAACCCAGAAAUGGCAUGAGUUCAACAUCAAACAUGGAAUUUUAGCUGGGGACCAAGUCAAGUCUGGAAGUGUUACAGGAUAGAAGAGUGAGCCUACAGUUGAAAAAACACAGUGCAUUACCAUUAAGGUAUGAGGUAAAGUAAUAGAGUAUGCACAUUGUCUAAUGAGAAGUACCAUCUUGUGUAAAUGAAUCUUGUAUAACAGCAAUCCUUUAUAGUUCUGUCACAGCUAGAAGCCUCAAAUAAUUCUGCUUUUCUUGCUCAAGAACAACUUGUCCUUUACAUUCAGAGUGUUGGUGAAGCUGGGUACUUAAAUGGCCCUAAAGAUGUUUCACUUCGCUGGCAUUGCAGCGAUGAACAUCAUACAUGGACUCUUUAGGAAAGGAUUUUCAGCAUACUGGGAACACAACUAUCAACAAUGCAACAUACUACGGGUGCUAUUUUAUCAUUCAAGAGCCUUAUACAAUGAUUUUCAUCUGCAAUUUGUAUGGCCUUUCCCAAGCUUCUGCCAGAAGUUGAAUCUAUGAGUCAUGUAAGUCACAUGAGCAACAAUUGAGAUGCUUAAUGGUGUUGUUUUUCUUUU